ensembl:lncRNA
CUUAUUUCAAAUCCUAAGAGAUGAUGCACUCAGUAUGCCAGCAAAUUUGGAAAACUCAGUAGUGGCCACAGGUUGCAGGGUAGUUGUCUGCUAAGGCUGCUGUCAUCUUGAAGCUCAAAUGAGGAAGACAGGGUGGUAGAAUUCACUGUCGCAGAACAGAAUGAAGAAAAAAGAAUGAAAAGAAAUGAGGACAGUCUUUGGGACAACAUAAAAUUCACCAACACUUGCAUUACAGGGCUCCCAGAAGGAUAGGAGAGAGAACCAGGAGGAUAAGAGAAAGAAAGAGCCUGGAAGGUAUUUGAACAGAUACUACUGAAAAAUUCCCUAGCAUGGGAAAGGAGAAAGCCACCCAAGUCCAGGGAACUCAGUGAGUCACAUACAUGAUUCACCCUCUUUCUCCACAGUUUCUGACUUACGGUGCUCCUCCAAGCUCAGGACCCCACGCUGCUCUCCAAGUCAGUACCUCUUCCUACUUUGACUUACUGCCAUCCUCCUCAUGCAGGAACUCCACUCCACACCAAGGACUAUCUCUGCAUAGUUUUUGUCUCACAGCGCUUCUCCUCAUCAGGAACCCUCACCUUCUCCAAGAACUGCACAGCUGUAGAAUUUGGUAUUUCUGCCUGGUUUCUGACCUAGUGUUCUCCUGCUCACUUGGGAUCUCCAUUUCGAAGCAAGUGAGUAUCUCUUCCCAUUAUCUGAACUAUGUUCUCCUCCUCACUCAAGACCCUCCCCUCCUCUCCUUGUCAGUAUCUCUGGCUAUCUACUACUCACACCGGACCUCCACUUUUGUCCAAGUGAGCAUCUCUGCCCAGAUUCUGACCUAUGGCUUGACCAUCAUUCACAACAUUCACUCCUUUCCAAGUGAGCACCUCUUCCUAGUUUCUGACCGACUGCCCUCCUUCUCAUUCAGGAUCUACCCACCUGUAAUUUGGCAUUUCUGCCUGCUUUCUGAAUUAGUGUGCUCCUGCUCACUCAGGAUCUCUACUUCUCUCCAAGUGAGCGUCUCAUCCAGUUUUGAAUUAUGCGUCCUCCUCACUCAGGACUCUCUAGUCCUCUCCAUGUAAGUACCUCUGCCUAGCUUCUAACCCAGUGUGCUACUACUCACACGGAUCUUCACUUUUCUCCAAAUGAGUAUCUCUGACCAGUUUCUGUCCUAUGUCCUGGUUCUCAUUCAUAACACCCGCCGUUUUCCAUUUGAGCACUCUUCCUCGUUUCUUACUUCCUAUAUUCCUUUCUCAAUUUUAUAUGCUUUUGUACCUUUCCUAGUUUUUGACUUACUGUGCUCCUGCUCUCUCAGGCUCUUCACUUCUCUCCAAGUCAGUGUGUUCCCAUUUUAACUGUGCUCCCCUCCUUGCUCAGAACCUCCACUCCUCUCUGAGUUUGUAUUUUUUUACUUGCUUCUGAUCUUUUCACUCCUCCUCACUCAGAACCCUCCACUCCUCUCCGAGUGAGUAUCUGUACCCAGUAUGUGACCUACGCGCUCAUCACUAAGAAUCCCUCACUCCUCUCCAAGUAAGUACAUCUUGCUAUCUCUGCUCUACUGUUGUCCUUCUAAAUCUGCAAGUCCACUACUGUUGAAUUUGAGUAUCUGCCUACUUUCGACUAACUGUGCUCCCCCUCACUCAGGACCUCCACUCGUCUCAAGUGAGCAUCUCUCCCUAGUUUCUGACUGCCUUCCCUCGUCCUCAGUCAGGUCCCUCCACUCCUCUCCACGUGAGUAUCUCUGCCCAGUUUCUCACCUAAUCGCUCCUCCUCAUUCAGGACAUCUACUCAUCUCCAAGUGAGCAUCACUGCCUACUUAACUGACUCCACUCAAGACUUCUCUCCCAGUGUGUAUCUCUACCCAGUGUCUGACCGAUGCGCCCCUGCUUACUCAGAUCCUCUCACAUCUUGCUAGUUUUGCGCACUGCCCUCCUUGUCAGUUAGGAACGCCAUUCCUGUGGAAUCUCUGCCUAGUUUGACUCACUGUGCUCCUCCUCAUCAGAAACCUCUGGUCCUGAGUAUCUGCUCAAUAUCCUAUGUGCUCUUCCUCACUCAAGACCCUCUUUCCUCUUCAAGUGAGUAUCUCAGACUAGUUUCUAACUUACUGAACUUCUCCUAAGUGACGACCCCCUGCCCCUGUCCUCUCCAAGUAAGUAUCUCGGACUACUUUCUAGUUGCGCUCCUCAUCACUCAAGACCUCCUCUCAUUUCCAAGUGAGUACCUCUUCCUAGUUUCUGACUUACUGCCCUCCUCGUCGCUCAAGACCUCCCACUCCUCUCCAAAUGAAUGUCUUUGUCUACCUUCUGACUUACCGCUCUCCUCCUCAUUGAGGAUGCCAGCACUGGUCACUGGGUGUGAAUUUUCUCCAUGUUUCUGUGUUCAAUAAAUAGUUUUUGGCGUGCUCUCCCA